rnacentral:rRNA from 1 species
UACGUAGGGUGCAAGCGUUGUCCGGAAUUAUUGGGCGUAAAGAGCUCGUAGGCGGUUCGUCGCAUCGGCUGUGAAAACCCGGAGCUCAACUCCGGGCCUGCAGUCGAUACGGGCGGACUAGAGUUCGGCAGGGGAGACUGGAAUUCCUGGUGUAGCGGUGAAAUGCGCAGAUAUCAGGAGGAACACCGGUGGCGAAGGCGGGUCUCUGGGCCGAUACUGACGCUGAGGAGCGAAAGCGUGGGGAGCGAACAGG